GUUCUGCUUGUCUAUCUCUAGUCAGUUUUCCUGACCUCGUGAGCACCCUCUCUUCGCAGGAGUAAGCAAGUCCAUGAGAGCGCAGAGGUUUAAAAUUUCACAAAAUCGUGCAAUGACUGUUUAGGCCCUGCUCUACCCACAUUGCAACAUCUUUCUCAAGUCCUUCCCAGUUCUGAACACACACUCUCCUCCCACCGUAAAAUUUACCUCUCAUUCUAGGUACAAGGAGUGUUUUCAAGAUAGGAGGAAUGAGCCUGCCAUUUGAUGCCAAUUCAGAGGGGUUUGUCAUCAGGAGACCAGGUGAUCCAGCCUCCCCAUCUCAGGGAAUGAGAACCACAAAUGUCUGAGUAGAGUAUGUAACUAUGUCCAAGGAAAAAUUAUAGCUCUGACUAUCUAACUAUAUUUUGAUCUGAUAAUCCUUUAAGAAGAAACAGGAUGCUACUUUUUUCCUGCAAUGCAGCAUUUCAGAAAAGUGCGGAGGUCAAGCUAGGGUAAUGACAGUCCCAUGAUUAAGAAUGCAACAGGUUAAGAAUGGCCAAGAAGAGGUCCAAUGGUUGAGGCUACCACAUGGCAAACUGAGGUCACAGCAUGACAGAAUGACAAGCCAGCAGCAAGAAGCAAAUGAACAAACCCCAUCCUUUCCAGGAACUUCCAGGGGAAGCUCCUGCUUUGCUCCCUUGAUGCUAAUGUGACUUGGGCAAAAUGAAGGGGUUCUUCUGAUGUAGGAGAGAAAGGAUCUGGAAGAAAUCUCCCCCAGCUGGCCUCCAUCAAUUCAGCUCAUUUUGCACAGAAUGGAUGUAUAUGUCUGCUGUAGUGAGUCUCUUUCCCCACCCUUCAGCUCAGGAAACUAUAGAAUGGCUGGCUUCCUUCUUGUUGGCUCCAAGCAGAGAGGAAGUGGGUGUACAUGUGGUGACUUUUGUUAGAUAACUGGAGAUCUGAAACACACACAUUACAGAUUAAAACUUAAAUAAGGUUUGCAUCCCUCCUUCUCACCAUGACCCUGUCUUCAUUGACUUAGCAGCAUCAACUGCCUUGGAGAAUAUUGACGGAAGGAAGACUUAGAAAGAACAGAGGCAAAUUCUUUCUUUCCUUCCUUAAAAUCCAAAUAGACUCUUGAAACUCAGGGCAGAGGCACUAUUCUUGAAAUCUAAAGCCUUUUGUUUUUGCCGGUGAGACAAGAGAUAAGGUUGUUUUUUGUUUUGUUUUUAAAGGCUCAAACUCCAAAGGAAGCCAGGUAUAGAAUUAGUUCCCUCUAUAGCUUUCUACAGAAAAAGGUGACAGCCUGGAUGAAAAGGAGCUUCAGGGAAAGACAAGGGAGCUUAGCUGCCAGUUGGUCCUAGAGAUGGGUCUGGUCCUUUCCCUUUGCCCCUGAAUAAGCCUGGAAAAGACCGAUGACAGCAGAAUGGAGCCCAGAGAGAGGGGGACAUCUGAGAAAAGGAGACCUGUAUUUGCUUCCUAGAUAAAGCCUGAGGGGAUAGCGAUGCUUUAGAGAAGUCUUUUACAUCCAUUUUGGAAAAUAGUUCACAGCGUAAAUGGGGAUGGGGCAGAUCUAAGCAGAGAGAGCUG
rnacentral:lncRNA from 1 species